UCCACAAGACAAAGCCGUCAUUUUUGCCCCAAAGCCCAUACGGUCAAGCACAAGCCCACCUCAAACGCCAGCCAUGGCCAUACAACGCCGUGCUUAAAUUCCAUGCAGCGCUCGCCCACGCCGCCCCCCUCCCUCCUGAGCUCUCCCUUUUCCGAUCUGGCGUGAUGCUAGAACGGCGGGUGACCAGAAAUGAUGGGACCGUAUUCAACGUUUGCUGGAACCGCCCCGUGGUUUUUGCUACCGAGUUUUUUGCUGGAUCAUGGCAGUGCUAGUCGAUGGUGGCGGUGAGCCGAAGACGCCGACACGAGAAUUUUUUCUACAACCAUGACGACUGUGGGAUGGAACCGGUCAACAGUAGAAGCUGAC